GCCCUACGAGACUCCCAUUAGGAACAUAAUGAACAACAAAUUUGAUGCUUUGAAAGAUGAUGACAGCGGUGACCACGAGCAGGACCAAGGCUCACCGAAAGACGGUGAGAAGGAAAAGAUUGAAGACGAUGACAAGGACCAGAACGUUCUAAGGAAGAAGACGGUGAUUCCAGGCGCGGGUGAGCACCCUCUUCAGUAUAAUUACACAUUUUGGUACUCCAGAAGGAACCCGGGGAGACCGGCCAGCACUCAGAGCUACGAGCAGAACAUUAGACAGAUUGGUAGCUUUGCCUCGGUGGAGCAGUUCUGGCGUUUCUACAGUCACAUGAUUCGACCAGGAGACCUAACGGGCCACAGUGACUUCCAUCUCUUCAAAGAAGGCAUCAAACCCAUGUGGGAGGAUGAUGCCAACAAGAUGGGCGGCAAGUGGAUCAUCCGUUUGCGGAAAGGCCUGGCGUCCCGUUGCUGGGAAAACCUGAUCCUGGCUAUUCUGGGUGAGCAGUUCAUGGUUGGCGAGGAAAUCUGCGGCGCCGUCGUGUCGGUCCGCUUUCAGGAGGACAUCAUCUCCAUCUGGAACAAAACAGCUAGCGACCGAUCCACCACGUCCCGCAUCAGAGAUACGCUCCGACGGGUCCUCAACUUGCCCCCCAACACCAUCAUGGACUACAAGACACACACGGACAGCAUUAAGUCAAUUGGUGGGAAUCUGGAAUGAUCUGUUGCUCCAUUGCAGAGCAUGGGAAGACUUCCAUGGUCUGGUGAAUGCUAGCGGCGGACGUUAGCCCUCCUGCCACCUCACACCUCUACAAGGUGGGUUUUUAUAUCACGUCGCUGUGGUGGAUGGAGAGGGCGGAUCGUGUGUCCGGGUGGGGAGGAGGAAACCCGCUGCGUGGAUUGACCGAGCGAAGGCCGGCAACAAAUGACGGGAAAGAGCACUCCUUCUUUGGCUCCGCUUGGGUGCCACCAGAAAGCCCUUUGAACAGAAGAGAGAAACUUGCAUUAUUUUUAGUCAACCAGAGACAACGGAUGUCUCAGACUGUUUUUUCUUUUCCCUCAAAUCGUUUUUUCUAGCAAGUUGAAGUUUAGCGGACUGUUGUUCGGCUAUUUGCUCAAAAGCUGUUGACAAAAAGUGUUCUUGGCUGAAUUCAUCAACCCUUUUCUAAUUGUUCACGUCACAUGACUUCCUCGACCGCUCUCGGGACUCAAACAGGGUUUGUGGUGGAAGUUCUUGUAAUACUGUGCUGUGUUUUAACUGCGAUUCUUCUGUCCAACUUGACUUUCUACUGUUAUCAUUUAUCUGUAAAGACAGAUUGCUGAAGAUUGAAUCAGCCAGGAUUCUCCUUCUCUGACCUGGAAGUAGAAUUCCAAAAAGAGAGGAAAAGGCACACUUACACAUACUCGGAAAUCUUACGAAGGGACUGCUACGCUGUUCUCAACUAGUCCAAGGAAAUGGGCUGUGCUUUAAUGCCGUCAACCAUUUACAAUACGGACAUUUUCUGCUUUUAUCAUUUUAUAUCCAUGAGUGUGAUGAAUCCACUGAAGUUUUUUUGUUUUGUUUUUUUCCAAUUUUCCUAUUGGAAAAACUGUAACGCCACCUUUGUUUGGUGGUGACGAUUGGGGAAGAUGGAUGUACGUUAAAUGGAUGAAAAGCAAUAAAUAUGCAGCUGCUGCUAAUAAAG